AAACGUUAACCGAGGGAACUACUGUCGUCUAUUGCACUAUCCAAUCAAUCGUUUGUAUGUGGUGACUCUGUAAGACGUUACUGGAGGAACUCCACUCUUGUUAGGUUCCGUGACCUUCAGGAGGGAGCUUUCAGCAGCCAGCUUCAUGCACGACCACCGGAUUCUACGAAAAAGUGUCGGACGUCAUGCGAAAAAUCACGACUGCACAUUUUUAUAUGAUUAUUAUUUUCAUAUAUAUAUCGCCGACGUACCACGCUUCUGAUGUGCGUACAUUGUACAUGAUAGGCCAUUGUUUGUAUACAGAUAUGUUCAAUCAAUUUGGG